UACGUAGGGUGCAAGCGUUGUCCGGAAUUAUUGGGCGUAAAGAGCGCGCAGGCGGUAUGACCAGUCAGAUGUGAAAGAGGCCGGCUUAACCGGCAAGGGUCAUUUGAAACUGUCAGACUAGAGUGCAGCAGAGGAUAGUGGAAUUCCCGGUGUAGUGGUGAAAUGCGUAGAUAUCGGGAGGAACACCAGUGGCGAAGGCGACUAUCUGGGCUGCAACUGACGCUGAGGCGCGAAAGCGUGGGGAGCAAACAGG
rnacentral:rRNA from 1 species